GGACAGGACGUACAAUAGGUUGCGAAACCGCGAGGUGGAGCCCAAAUCCUCAAAGUCUGUCUCAGUUCAGAUUGUAGGCUGCAACUCGCCUGCAUGAAGUUGGAGUUGCUAGUAAACGCAGGUCAGCUAUACUGCGUUGAAUACGUUCCCGGGUUU
rnacentral:rRNA from 1 species